rnacentral:tRNA from 1 species
UAUUUCAAUAACAAAAACAUUA